rnacentral:pre_miRNA from 1 species
CAACUACUCCCUCUGUCCCAAAUUUCUUGUCUUAGAUUUGUCUAGAUACAGAUGUAUCUAAUAAUAAAAUGUGACUUGAUACAUCCGUAUCUAGACAAAUCUAAGACAAGAAUUUUGGGAUGGAGGGAGUACUUU